rnacentral:rRNA from 1 species
UGGGGAAUUUUGGACAAUGGGGGCAACCCUGAUCCAGCAAUGCCGCGUGUGUGAAGAAGGCCUUCGGGCUGUAAAGCACUUUUGUCCGGAAAGAAAUCGCGCUGGUUAAUACCUGGCGUGGAUAACGGUACCGGAAGAAUAAGCAACGGCUACAUACGUGCCAGCAGCCGCGGUAAUACGUAGGGUGCGAGCGUUAAUCGGAAUUACUGGGCGUAAAGCGUGCGCAGGCGGUUUUGUAAGACAGGCGUGAAAUCCCCGGGCUUAACCUGGGAAUUGCGCUUGUGACUGCAAGGCUAGAGUGCGUCAGAGGGGGGUAGAAUUCCACGUGUAGCAGUGAAAUGCGUAGAGAUGUGGAGGAAUACCGAUGGCGAAGGCAGCCCCCUGGGACGUGACUGACGCUCAUGCACGAAAGCGUGGGGAGCAAACAGG